rnacentral:piRNA from 1 species
UACAACAGUGAAAUAUAAGCCUACUCCCAAGA